rnacentral:lncRNA from 10 species
AUCUUGUCUCCCUCUCCUUACCUGCGUCCUCGGGGGCGUGCGCACCACCCCCCCUCCCGCCUAGGAGGGGGGAGGGCCCCCUCUUGGCCACCGCCUUCGCGGCCUUUAAACUCCCCUGGAGACUGCGGCUACUGCCACCGCCUUGCCUCCACUGCCUCUUCGCGCAGCACACAGAUGCGGACGGUGGGUGGGAAAAAGGGCAGACGCUACUCCCAGCGAACCGCCGCUGCCGCUCCCGAGGCCUCACCAAAAUGGCCGCCGCCGUCUCGGCCGCCACCACCACCACUACCACCACCACUCGCUCGGAAUCGCUAUCGCCGGCGCGGCCCGUCUUCUCGCGAGAGACAGUAACUGGAGGGUGGGGGAACGGGGAGGCUCGCGUGCUAGCGUAGGGUGCAGCACGGUGCGCAAGGCAGCCUGGGAGGUGUAGUCUCCCAGAGGCUGCGCGCUCGCCCUUCCUCGGAGCGCCUUUACCGUUUGCCCCUAGAUCUACCUGGGGCUGCAUUGCGGCUGCCAGCUCGGACCACCGCCACCUCCCUUUUUAUUUACAGAUCACCCAGUAAGCUGCAGCAAGUUAGCAGUGGAACCUGGGCCUCCCGAUUCCCAUGGCAGCCCACUUCUGUAGCGCUGCUUCGUUUUACGCGAGGAUGGUUUCCUGAUAGCUUUCAAACACCUUUGCCAUCUCUUCGCAAACUUUCUAGAUUAAGAAUCCCUUUGAGAAUCUGAUACCUUUACCCCAGAAUAGAACAAUAAAUAACAGCUACCUUCUACUGACACUA